rnacentral:rRNA from 1 species
UACGAAGGGGCUAGCGUUGUUCGGAAUUACUGGGCGUAAAGAGCUCGUAGGUGGUUUGUCGCGUUGUUCGUGAAAACUCACAGCUCAACUGUGGGCGUGCGGGCGAUACGGGCAGACUUGAGUACUGCAGGGGAGACUGGAAUUCCUGGUGUAGCGGUGAAAAUGCGCAGAUAUCAGGAGGAACACCGGUGGCGAAGGCGGGUCUCUGGGCCGAUACUGACGCUGAGGAGCGAAAGCGUGGGGAGCGAACAGG